UACGUAGGGACCAAGCGUUGUUCGGAUUUACUGGGCGUAAAGGGCGCGUAGACGGCGUGGUAAGUCACUUGUGAAAUCUCUGAGCUUAACUCAGAACGGCCAAGUGAUACUGCUGUGCUAGAGUGCAGAAGGGGACAAUCGGAAUUCUUGGUGUAGCGGUGAAAUGCGUAGAUAUCAAGAGGAACACCUGAGGUGAAGACGGGUUGCUGGGCUGACACUGACGCUGAGGCGCGAAAGCCAGGGGAGCAAACGGG
rnacentral:rRNA from 1 species